UUAACCUCUCAUGGAGUAAUUCAUGGUAUUGGCCCCGCGCUUUGUGGAGCCUAAAGCUGACAGGUGGAAGCCCCCGGCUGGACAUAAUAACUUUUACUGUUCCGUCGCGGCAGGUGGAAGCCCAAGAAACCGGCACCAGCAGCUCGCUGGCGCUCGCUC
rnacentral:misc_RNA from 1 species